rnacentral:rRNA from 1 species
GAUGAACGCUGGCGGCGUGCCUAAUACAUGCAAGUCGAGCGAACAGAUGAGAAGCUUGCUUCUCUGAUGUUAGCGGCGGACGGGUGAGUAACACGUGGGUAACCUACCUAUAAGACUGGGAUAACUCCGGGAAACCGGGGCUAAUACCGGAUAAUAUUUUGAACCGCAUGGUUCAAUAGUGAAUGACGGUUUCGGCUGUCACUUAUAGCUGGACCCGCGCCGUAUUAGCUAGUUGGUAAGGUAACGGCUUACCAAGGCGACGAUACGUAGCCGACCUGAGAGGGUGAUCGGCCACACUGGAACUGACACACGGUCCAGACUCCUACGGGAGGCAGCAGUAGGGAAUCUUCCGCAAUGGGCGAAAGCCUGACGGAGCAACGCCGCGUGAGUGAUGAAGGUCUUCGGAUCGUAAAACUCUGUUGUUAGGGAAGAACAAAUUUGUUAGUAACUGAACAAGUCUUGACGGUACCUAACCAGAAAGCCACGGCUAACUACGUGCCAGCCGCCGCAGUAA